rfam:Solenopsis invicta Si_gnG.contig20507, whole genome shotgun sequence.
CGAUCGGCCCUUUUCAGGGCCAAUAAAACUUCCAUACCGCAAAUAG